UCUCACUCUGGCCCACCCCAGGCUCCUACAUCCUUGUAUUCACCACGUAAUGAACUCAGAUGAGACUCUCAAUAUAAUGCAGAAGAUAGUGUAUAACAAAGCAUGGAGGGAUAAGAGUUGGUAAUGGCCAGAGGGACCAGUGUAGACGAAAACUUCUCAACUAAUGUGAGUGAAAUUCCCUUGUGUACAUAUAGGCAUCACAUUGCAUCCAUUGAUGGACAUCUAGGCCAAUCACAUUUCCUUGCUAUUGUGAAUAGAACAACAAUAGACAUGAUUCAUGUUCCAGAUCGACGGAAUUCUGCAAUAAUGGCUCUCAGGAAGCCCUGUUCCAGGAGGGAACAGUUCCUUAAACGAAACCAAGAGAUGUGAAUUCUAAGAGGCUGUCUGCACCAUUGGAUUCAAGAAAGACCUGGUCUUACCAGUCGGCUAGACACGCGGUUCAUCAUGAUCCUCUCUGGCAGGUCCAUGGUGUUGGCAAUGGCCAGGACCACCAGCCGGGCUCCCUUGUGAGUAGGC